rnacentral:rRNA from 1 species
GGGGCACCUGAUCUUCAAUGCCGCGUGAGUGAAGAAGGCCUUCGGGUUGUAAAGCUCUUUUGUCAGUGCAAGAAACGGUUCUGGCUAAUAUCCAGAGCUAAUGACGGUACCUGAAGAAUAAGCACCGGCUAACUACGUGCCAGCAGCCGCGGUAAUACGUAGGGUGCAAGCGUUAAUCGGAAUUACUGGGCGUAAAGCGUGCGCAGGCGGUUUUGUAAGACUGUCGUGAAAUCCCCGGGCUCAACCUGGGAAUGGCGAUGGUGACUGCAAGGCUAGAGUUUGGCAGAGGGGGGUAGAAUUCCACGUGUAGCAGUGAAAUGCGUAGAUAUGUGGAGGAACACCGAUGGCGAAGGCAGGCCCCUGGGUCAAAACCGACGCUCAUGCACGAAAGCGUGGGGAGCAAACAGGAUUAGAUACCCUGGUAGUCCACGCCCUAAACGAUGUCUACUAGUUGUCGGGUCUUAAUUGACUUGGUAACGCAGCUAACGCGUGAAGUAGACCGACUGGGGAGUACGGUCGCAAGAUUAAAACUCAAAGGAAUUGACGGGGAACCGCAAAAAGCGGUGGAUGAUGGUGGAAUUCAUUCGAUGCAAAGCAAAAAACUUACCUACCCUUGACUGGCAGGAAUCCCGGAGAA